UACGUAGGGGGCUAGCGUUGUCCGGAUUUAUUGGGCGUAAAGAGCGUGUAGGCGGCCAGGUAGGUCUGCUGUGAAAACUCGAGGCUCAACCUCGAGACGUCGGCGGAAACCAUCUGGCUAGAGUCCGGAAGAGGAGAGUGGAAUUCCUGGUGUAGCGGUGAAAUGCGCAGAUAUCAGGAAGAAGACCCGUGGCGAAGGCGGCUCUCUGGGACGGUACUGACGCUGAGACGCGAAAGCGUGGGGAGCGAACAGG
rnacentral:rRNA from 1 species